CUCCGUANGUGAACCUGCGGNNNNNNNNNUANNCAAAUAUGAAGGCGGGCUGGAACCUCUCGGGGUUACAGCCUUGCUGAAUUAUUCACCCUUGUCUUUUGCGUACUUCUUGUUUCCUUGGUGGGUUCGCCCACCACUAGGACAAACAUAAACCUUUUGUAAUUGCAAUCAGCGUCAGUAACAAAUUAAUAAUUACAACUUUCAACAACGGAUCUCUUGGUUCUGGCAUCGAUGAAGAACGCAGCGAAAUGCGAUAAGUAGUGUGAAUUGCAGAAUUCAGUGAAUCAUCGAAUCUUUGAACGCACAUUGCGCCCUUUGGUAUUCCAAAGGGCAUGCCUGUUCGAGCGUCAUUUGUACCCUCAAGCUUUGCUUGGUGUUGGGCGUCUUGUCUCUAGCUUUGCUGGAGACUCGCCUUAAAGUAAUUGGCAGCCGGCCUACUGGUUUCGGAGCGCAGCACAAGUCGCACUCUCUAUCAGCAAAGGUCUAGCAUCCAUUAAGCCUUUUUUUCAACUUUUGACCUCGGAUCAGGUAGGGAUACCCGCUGAACUUAAGCAUAUCA
rnacentral:rRNA from 1 species